GACGGAGGAUGCAAGCGUUAUCCGGAAUGAUUGGGCGUAAAGCGUCCGCAGGUGGCAGUUCAAGUCUGCUGUCAAAGACCGGGGCUUAACUUCGGAAAGGCAGUGGAAACUGAACAGCUAGAGUAUGGUAGGGGCAGAGGGAAUUCCUGGUGUAGCGGUGAAAUGCGUAGAUAAUCUGGAGGAACACCGGUGGCGAAGGCGGCAUCCUGGACCAAUUCUGACGCUGAGGAGCGAAAGCCAGGGGAGCAAAGCGGG
rnacentral:rRNA from 1 species